rnacentral:rRNA from 1 species
GCUUACGGCCACACCGCCUUUGGUUCCCGUCGACCGGAAGCUAAGAUAGGUUGGGCCUGGUUAGUACUUGGAUGGGAGACCGCCUGGGAAUACCAGGUGCUGUAAGCU